AACGCUAAAUCAGACAGCAAGGAAUGAUGGGRCUUAGUAUCCAUUCUCGUACCCAGACCCUCCUCAUUAGCCAAUCCGCACGAGUAGAGUCUCAUUCCAAUCCCCCUUAACAAAGCGUCGCUUCGUAGGCCCGAMUUAAAAACCCAUUUAUCUUAUACGCUUUCUGCCUUUAAUUUACUCUCCUGCCGAUGGCGAUGAGACACUUUUGGUUAUAAAAUCAAAAUCGAAAAAAACUGUGGUAACUGAGGUAGUAAGUGCAGGCCAUUUACAGCACGUUAAACCGUAUGAAGAAGUUACUACCUAUCCAGACAAGGAAAGACAUAUACCAACAGUUCAUCUCACCACACUUCGAUAACUGUUCCGAUGAUUGGCACUUUUGUAGCAAAAACGCAACAGACAAGCUAGAGAAAGUUAAUGAACGAGCAAUCCGUUUCGUUUUUCAAGACAAGAACAGCUCGUAUACUAAUCUACUCAAAAAACUGGGAUCCACUACUCUGUACGAGAGAAGACUCAAGAAGAUUAUACUAACUGUCUUCAAGGCCCUUCAUAAAGACAACAGCCCAGAAUCCAUAAAGGAACUGUUGCAACACCGAAGUACAAGUUACAAUCUAAGAGGAACGAACAUUCUAAAACUGCCAAAAAUCAAUUCUACAACGCAGGGCCUUAAAUCAUGGCGGUAUAUUGCUCCCAAAACAUGGAACAGUCUACCAGAGAGCAUGAGACGAGAAGUGAACAUAAAAAGCUCCCUUAAAGAAUUAAGAACAUUGGAACUAGAAACCUUGUAUAACUUACAGACAUAAUUAUUUAUAUUUUAUUUUAAGACACUGUAAAUAAAUCGCAUUUUAUAUUUUA